CCUACGGGUGGCAGCAGUGGGGAAUCUUGGGCAAUGGGCGCAAGCCUGAACCAGCAAAGCCGCGUGAAGGCAGACGGCUCUAGGGUUGUCAAAUUCUUUUAUCAGGGACGAAGCGAGUGACGGUAACUGAUGAAUUAGCAACGGCUAACUAAGUACCAGCAGCCGCGGUUAUACGUAGGUGGAAGGCGGUAUCCGGAUGUCAUGGGUGUAAAGGGCGUGUAGGCGGGAUUGCAAGUCUGAUGGGAAAACUAAGGGCGCAACCCAUAGCCUGGAUUUGAAACUGUACUUCUUGAGUGCUGGAGAGGCAAGCGGAAUGCCGGGUGUAGCGGUGAAAUGCGUAGAUAUACGGAGGAACACCAGUGGCGAAGGCGGAUUGCUGGACAGUAACUGACGCUGAGGCGCGAAAGCGUGGGGAGCAAACAGGAUUAGAUACCCGGGUAGUC
rnacentral:rRNA from 1 species